rnacentral:rRNA from 1 species
AUGGCCGCCGGCGCAGGCCGCAUGCCCACGAACCGACUUGUUGAUAAUCAGCCUUCGCUACCACCAGCAAUCUCAAUACCAUGCUCCACGCACCACCCUAGUCGUGGACUCAGCUCCGAGGAGGAGAACCUCGCUUUUUCUCUGAUGAUGCUGGCCAACGGCAUCCGGGAUGAGUAUCAUGUAUUCCUUGACUAUGAUACAAUGCGACCACCGCCGCUGCCUUUGCCACCACACAUGGUAGAUAUUCCGGUGAGCGUAGCCCGCGAUUUAGCCCAGGGUGUACUGGCGGCCGAGGUGACCAGCCAAACAUCGGCUUCGGUGGUCGUGGUUGCUCCAAGGCAAGGUCCCACACAAGCGCCGCCACCGUUGUCGGUAGUCGUCAUCGGGGCAAAUCUGGUGCUAGAGCAGGUGGUCCCGUUGACCCAAGCGCCACACCUGGUGAUUGUGACUCAAGCGGCCCCUGCUCUGGCAUUGGCAUCCACCCAAGCACGACAAGUUGUCGCGAAGAACAAAGUGCCAUUCAACAAGCCCAACAAAGCGUCCACACAACCAAUCAAGCCAUGCAAAUCGCUCAAGGCUGUGGUCACGACGGUGGAGAACCAAGUGCUGCAGCAGGGGAGCCAACAACUGUUACACGAGUGGCCCGUGUGUGUCAAGAGGUUCAACAAGUCUCGGGGCCUUAAUGUGCACAUGAAAACCCAUCCAGAUGGGAGAUUGCACCCAUGUGUGUGGUGCAUGAGCACUUUCCCCAACUCCUCUACGCUUCGCUCACACGUCAGGCGCAACAAUACUUGCGGUGGAAACAAGCCAAGAAAGCUUGGGCCCGUGGCCGCGGCGGCGAUAGCAUGGCACACCAUCAACCUGAACAUGCCGGAGAUUUAA